rnacentral:lncRNA from 10 species
GUUCUUUGCCGUCACUCAGAGCCUCUCAGGGCCCCAAGACUCCAGGAAGAAACAAGUAUUGUAGAAGCCAAAACCCCAAGGCAAGAUGAGGAAACUGAGGCCCCACGUGGUGAAGACAAUUUUUACCCGAAUCCACCCACAACAAGAGACCAUUUGGAUAAUGUACAUUAUGGGAAGAGAACAGAGUCUCAGUGAAGAUCAUGUUUCCCCAGCAACACAGGUGCCAGGAGUAGCUGGCUCUGGUCCCAGCCCAGACUCAGAAAUCCUGAGCCACCAGACCAUUUCUAGAUUAACAAAACACAGGAGCUAUGUGGAGAGUUGA